GGAAUGUGGCUCAAGUGGUAGCGUGUUCGCCUGGCAUGCGCGGGGCGCUGGGUUCGAUCCUCAGCACCA
rnacentral:tRNA from 1 species